GCAAAGUUGUGUAGUGCGAUCGGUGGAUGCCUUGGCACCAAGAGCCGAUGAAGGACGUUGUGACCUGCGAUAAGCCCUGGGGAGUUGGUGAGCGAGCUGUGAUCCGGGGGUGUCCGAAUGGGGAAACCUGGAAUGUCCGGAGUAGUGUCCGGUGGCCCUGCCCUGAAUGUAUAGGGGUGUGGGUGGUAACGCGGGGAAGUGAAACAUCUUAGUACCCGUAGGAAGAGAAAACAAGUGUGAUUCCGUGAGUAGUGGCGAGCGAAAGCGGAGGAGGCUAAACCGUGUGUGUGUUCAAGCCGGCAGGUGUUGCAUGUGCGGGGUUGUGGGGGCCUUGUGGUUCUGCUGCCGCAGGAUUGGCCAGUGAGAAAUGUUGCGUGAAGGUGAAGCGUCUGGGAAGGCGUACCGGAGUGGGUGAGAGUCCUGUAACUGUAAGCGUGGCACUGGUGUGGGGUUGCCCCGAGUAGCGUGGGACUCGUGGAAUUUCGCGUGAAUCUGGCGGGACCACCCGUCAAGCCUAAAUACUCCUUGGUGACCGAUAGUGGAUGAGUACCGUGAGGGAAGGGUGAAAAGUACCCCGGGAGGGGAGUGAAAGAGUUCCUGAAACCGGUCGCAUGCAAGCCGUCAGAGCCUGUGUGGUGAUGGCGUGCCUUUUGAAGAAUGAGCCUGCGAGUUAGUGAUGCGUGGCGAGGUUAACCCGUGGUGGGGGAGUCGUAGCGAAAGCGAGUCCGAUAAGGGCGUGAGUCGCGUGUUCUAGACCCGAAGCGGUGUGAUCUAUCCAUGGCCAGGAUGAAGCGUCGGUAAGACGUCGUGGAGGUCCGAACCCACUUCAGUUGAAAAUGGAGGGGAUGAGUUGUGGAUAGGGGUGAAAGGCCAAUCAAACACCGUGAUAGCUGGUUCUCCCCGAAAUGCAUUUAGGUGCAGCGUUGCGUGGUUCUUGUUGGAGGUAGAGCACUGGAUGGUCUAGGGGGCUUAUCGGCUUACCGAAAUCAGCCAAACUCCGAAUGCUGGCAAGUGUAGCGUGGCAGUGAGACGGCGGGGGAUAAGCUUCGUCGUCGAGAGGGAAACAGCCCAGAUCAUCAGCUAAGGCCCCUAAGUGGUGACUCAGUGGGAAAGGAUGUGGAGUUGCGUAGACAACCAGGAGGUUGGCUUAGAAGCAGCCACCCUUUAAAGAGUGCGUAAUAGCUCACUGGUCAAGUGAUUCCGCGCCGAUAAUGUAGCGGGGCUUAAGUUAUCCGCCGAAGCUGUGGCAACCUGUGUGGUUGGGUAGGGGAGCGUCGUGUCAGUGGUGAAGCUGCCGGGUGACUGUGUGGUGGAGUUGAUGCGAGUGAGAAUGCAGGCAUGAGUAGCGUGUGACGGGUGGGAAUCCCGUCCGCCGAUUAUCCAAGGGUUCCAGGGUCAAGUUUGUCUGCCCUGGGUGAGUCGGGUCCUAAGGCGAGGCCGACAGGCGUAGUCGAUGGGUAACCAGUUGAUAUUCUGGUACCGGCUUGUCACCGUCCGUGUCGAGGUGUGUGAUGCUAAGCAUGUGAGCUUGUCUUGGGAGUGUUUUUGAUGCUUCUGGGGUGGGUGAGUGUGUGAACCGAUCAUGUAGUAGGCAAGCUGCGGAGGGACGCAGUGAGGUAGCUCAUCCCCGGUGAUGGUUGUCCGGGGCUAAGUGUGUGGACUGUCUGGUAGGUAAAUCCGCUGGGCGUGAAGGUUGAGGCAUGAUGGGGAGCCCACGGUUGUGGGUGAGUGAGUGAUCCUGUACUGUCGAGAAAAGCUUCGUGAGCGAGGUGGCGGGUCCGCCCGUACCCUAAACCGACACUGGUGGAUAGGUAGAGUAUACCGAGGCGAUCGAGUGAAUCGUGGUGAAGGAACUCGGCAAAAUGCCCCCGUAACUUUGGGAUAAGGGGGACCUGAGCUGUCGUGCACCCGUGCGGUGUGGUGGCGGUGAGGGGCGCAGAGUCCAGGGGGAAACGACUGUUUACCAAAAACACAGGUCCGUGCGAAGUCGUAAGAUGAUGUAUAGGGUCUGACACCUGCCCGGUGCUGGAAGGUUAAGGGGAACUGUGAGUGUGAUGCGUAGCGGUGAACUUAAGCCCCAGUAAACGGCGGUGGUAACUAUGACGGUCCUAAGGUAGCGAAAUUCCUUGUCGGGUAAGUUCCGACCUGCACGAAUGGAGUAACGACUU
rnacentral:rRNA from 1 species